GCAUGGACGAAUUCUGCAUCAUCUUGUGGUGAUUUUUGCAGUCAGACACCAUGCUAGAGUAAACUUCAACUGUGCUUUCCUAUGGCAUUCUGUUUAGCAUGUCUGCGCACUUGAGUACAUUU